GACGAACGCUGGCGGCGCGCUUAACACAUGCAAGUCGAGCGAGAACCAGGGCUUCGGCCCUGGGGACAGCGGCGAACGGGUGAGUAACACGUGGGUAAUCUGCCCUCGGCACCGGAAUAGCCCGGGGAAACCCGGAUUAAUGCCGGAUGGCCCCUUCACCUCGCGAGGUGUCGGGAACAGGUAGCUUCGGCCUCUGGCCGAGGAUGAGCGCGCGGCGGAUUAGCUUGUUGGCGGGGUAACGGCCCACCAAGGCGACGAUCCGUAGCUGGUCUGAGAGGACGAUCAGCCACACUGGGACUGAGACACGGCCCAGACUCCUACGGGAGGCAGCAGUGGGGAAUCUUGCGCAAUGGGCGAAAGCCUGACGCAGCGACGCCGCGUGAGGGAAGAAGGCCUUCGGGUUGUAAACCUCUUUCAGGAGGGACGAAGCUACUCGGGUGAAUAGCCCAGAGGGUGACGGUACCUCCAGAAGAAGCCCCGGCUAACUACGUGCCAGCCGCCGCAGUAAGAC
rnacentral:rRNA from 1 species